AAUAGUAAUGAAUUUCCAUAAUUAAUAUGGGAAUUCUAGAACUGCCUGCAGGAGCUUUGAAACAUAAGUCCUUGCUUUAGACCAGGAAUGACCUUAAGGUCACCUUCAGGUCACUCUUCUCAGCCUCAGCCGGCAGAUGAUAGGAAACAGCUGGGGAAGAAGUCGGAGUGAAAACAAAGGCACACUGUAGCAACCAUUUCAUCGCGUUACGCCACCGCGAGAGCACGGACAAAAGAAUAUCUUUUUGUGAUAUUAUGCUAACCUGCUCAUCAAAAAGGUUUAUUUAAACGACGGUGCUUGGGAGCGCGGCUCCAUUUUCUGUGCAAGUUUGAGGCUGACUCAUCCUACUGAAUAAGCAGUCGAUCGAGAAAUGCCUGAUGCAGUCUUCCUCGCAACGUUCCUGUCUGUCCAGGAGCGUCCACCACUCGUCAUCAUAGCAGUCUUUUGUGGGAACUGCAUUAGUUCUUUCUGCUGUUGAAGAGAGAAAUACAGUGUCAACUAUGCCUCGGACAAAGUCCAAGAGUGUGGAACAAAGACGAAAACAAAGCGCUACUUGCAUGAAGAGAAAAAUAGCGGAGUCAACACCAGAAGCUGCUGAGACACGCCGGGAUUGGAAGAGGGCAAAAAUGCAAGAAUAUAGAUCAAACGAGACACCAGGGGCUACUGCCAUCCGACUCGCAGCAGAGAGAACACACAUGAGGCAAAAACGGAAAGAAGAAACUCCACAGGACACGGAAAAACGACUCGCAGCAAAGAGAACACACAUGAAGCAAAAACGGAAAGAAGAAAUGCCACUGGACACGGAAAAACGACUCGCAGCAAAGAGAACACACAUGAAGCAAAAACGGAAAGAAGAAACUCCACAGGACACAGAAAACGACUCGCAGCAGUGAGAACACACAUGAAGAAGAGAAGAAAAGAAGAAAACGCCACAGGCCACAGAACAACGACUCGUAGCAAAGAGAACACACAUGCAGAAGAGAAGAAAAGAAGAAACACCACAGGCCACAGAACAACGACUCGCAGCAAAGAGAACACACAUGCAGAAGAGAAGAAAAGAAGAAACACCACAGGCCACAGAACAACGACUCGCAGCAAAGAGAACACACAUGCAGAAGAGAAG